AUAUUUUUUAGUUACACACCGAUCGCAGGUGUACAAACAGCUAAUUAUAUAUAAUUGGGAUGUCUCUCAUUUUUUACCACAAUUUUUCUUUCUUUGACUCCCCUAUAUUAAUCCUACACAAUAGGAUUCAUGUUUUCUUGGGUCGGCAGUUGAUGUUCUUACGUCCGCUCCCCAACAGAUUGAUUGCACAUUUUCACCCAAAUGUAGUGCAAGAAUAUGUGAUUUUGAGAAAAUUCUCUCCAUGUCUUUUACAAAUCAAAAUUGCUAGGUGCACACUAUUAAAACAUAAAAAAUGUAGUGUGACAGAUUUAUUUUAAAUGUGUCCACACCGCACGCCACAAAAUACAAUUUUUGGAUUUUAAUAUCCAGCAUAACAAAACACAGCCCCCCAUUAAAGCUGCUAGAAAAAAUUAUGGAAGAAGAGAGAAUGCUCAACACAAGUUCUUUAUGAUCCUUCCUUUCUUCCUUCUCACCACAACACAGCUCUCAAACCCACACCAUCAUCAAACACCCACUUACCACCCAUUCAUCAGAAUCACAACAAAAGACUCAUUUCACCGCGCUCGUUCUGGGUCACUACAUUACACCACAUUAUCAUGCAACUCCUCUACCAUCUCUCUCUUGAGUUCUGCUGAAUUCACCAAUUAAUGGCUGGCUUUCCCAGAUUGGUAUCAGUCUGAAGGAAACAUACAAGGAUUAGCCAAUGCCUCGUGCAACCACGACACUGAUUAAUUCAGUAUUUCAAGUAUGCCCAAGAGGAUUUCAUGUAGACCAAAUAGCUCCAUGUUCCCAUCUUGUUUCACAGUGCAAGUUGUGGCUAUAAUGAAGACAGUGGGGAGAGAGAGAGAGUGUGCGCGCUAACAUUGAUUUUGGGGGUGUUAGGUCCUGGUAUUGUUUUUUGAGGAGAUGAAGAUGUAGCUCGUAGGUAGAAAAUUGGAAAUUACAAGUUUAUUUGUAAACUAGGUUUCUUGUUUUUGUAUGGACUACUAACAAACACGGCUCAACACCAAAAACCCAAAAAUUAAAAUUAAAAGAUUAAAAAAAUACUCCUAGUAGUAUCUAACAAUGUUUCGUUUUUAAUUCAUCACCACAUAAACUCUCGUUCCAUAUUUUACCUUCAUAUCUUAGGUUGUCAUUUCAAGUUUCUAUCCGUACAUGAUUUAUAUGUUUUUCCCAAUUGCAACAGCUAUUGACUAGCAGAAACUGUUUCCUGGACCACUUCUAAUAAAAACGACUGAAACAAAAAACACGAGAUGGCAAACCUUGAGAUGCAAAAAAGACAACCAAAAAAAAAAAAAAAGGAAGACAAAGAAGAAUCCAAGUCCAAAUACACCAUUACGGCCAUUAAAACAGCUUUUAUAAAUUAUGACUUACACGCAACAUUUUACUCAAAAAUUGGAUGAGUGUUUCCUCUUGAAUUGCGCAAUAAAAAAAACAAUCAAGAGGAAAAGAAGCAUAUACCAGAACCCACAAGGAAUAAAGAAAUAAA